CCUACGUGUGGCUGCAGUGAGGAAUAUUUGUCCAUGGGCGCGAGCCUGAACCAGCCAAGUAGCGUGAAGGAUGACUGCCCUACGGGUUGUAAACUUCUUUUAUCAAGGAGUAAAUUGGGGCACGUGUGCCUUUUUGUAUGUACUUUAUGAAUAAGGAUCGGCUAAAUCCGUGCCAGCAGCAGCGGUAAUACGGAGGAUCAGACCUUUAUCCGGUUUUAUUGGGUUUAAGGGGAGCGUAGAUGGGUUGUUAAGUCAGUUGUGAAAGUUUGCGGCUCAACCGUAAAAUUGCAAUUGAUACUGGCAGCCUUGAGUGCAGUAGAGGUAGGCGGAAUUCGUGGUGUAGCGGUGAAAUGCUUAGAUAUCACGAAGAACUCCGAUUGCGAAGGCAGCCUACUAAACUGCAACUGACAUUGAUGCUCGAAAGUGUGGGUAUCAAACAGGAUUAGAUACCCUGGUAGUC
rnacentral:rRNA from 1 species